ACUUAGAUUCAAUAAACAUAAAAAACAACUUUUUUGCUUAGUUAUCCAUUUUGUUUAGUUUAUUGUACGAUUUGCAUGAUAUUUUUGAUUCUACUGGAAUGUUUAAAUUGAAUGUACUUAACAAAGCUUAUUUUAGUCUAUUGGUAAAGGAGUGAUGUGCAAGGGGAAAUGUGAUUGGCUCUUUGUCUUUGGACUGACGUCACUGGUGAAUACAGCGUGAGCGCGCAUUUUCUAAUGGCUGCUGAUCACUGUGAGUACGAUUUCAUACUUUUGUCUCAAACAGUCCACAUUGUUUUCCUUUAAUAAACAAAGUAUGUAACCGUUAGCAAGAAAACCACAUGUAAGAUUAAGCUGUGUCUGACGUUAGGAUCAUGUUAUUGUUCCGGUCAAUCGCAACCGCCAUUGCCACAUUUAUUAACAGUUCUAAGACGUGAAAAGUGCAAAGACGUGCGUAAUAGGAUCAUGAUAGAUCAUAUAUUAUGUAAAAAAAAGUUAAUGUAAGUUUUGCCUGUGUUAGCGUAUUCAUUUAUGCCACGUAUAACCGAUCACGGCCGCUGCAUUUCAUCUAUAUAAUUCGUUACAGUUACUGUACGUGGAAACAUGCUUUAUGAGGUCGUCACGUAUAAAGUUUAAUAUUGAUGCUGUAUUCGAUGAGUCAUCCGCGUUAUCUUUUGUGUAAACUGAUUAUUUUUUCAGUGGUGGUUAUGUGUCGUCAGAUGUUUAGCAUAACAUAACCUGAGCUGUUUUUAACAUUUUUUUUACUUUUUUUUUCUUGUAAGUGAAGUAUUAACUGACUAGAAUACAUUGAGAUUUGCCCCUUCGGAAAUACGAAUUCAUGUUAGUUGGCAGUUUUUAAAGAUAUGCAACCUCGUGCUCAUCAGUCUUAGCAAGUGAAUUUUCAGUUAAUUAGAAUGAAAGCUAAAUAAUUAACUGUAGCUCUCUAAUUCUUUUGAUUAACAAUAGCUGUUUGUGGGAAAUUUGGAGAUAACAGAUCAAAUUAUGUAAAUGUGUUUUGUCAGCUAGUAAUCUAAUGUAUAUUUUUGUAACUGUAGAUUGCAGAAAGAUCAAAGACAGGCCAACCAGGAUGAGAUGAAAAUGUGUAUCAAGAGUUCAACCAGAUAGUGUGGAAGAAUCUUAAGCAAGAAUUAUAUUGGUCUCUUGAUCAUCACUGCCCACAGCUGAUUCAGAUCUUCAGGUCAAAGAGAGGAUUCACUGGACAGAUUUUUAUCUUCUACAAAAUAACAAGGCGUCUGACCUCACUGACAUGCCAUGUGUUGCCAUUUGAGUGCUUCCAGUAGUUGUUGGUGAUGACCCAACAGUUCUUCAAAGCAUGUUUUGCUUCAGAUGAUGGAGACUCAAAUCAACAUGUGCCCGUUGGAAUUCUUAACCAAGAAAAUUAAGAUGUGGCUCUGCAACCCCUGUCCUUCCACCUCCACCCAUUCUCUGGGAAUCAUCUUGGAGGGAAAUGUUGUAAUGGACAAUAUAGACAAUAUUCCCCAGGCCAAGUGUCUUUUUGGAUCAACCUAUGCACUGCACCUAGGCUACACAAAAUGCAUGGACAAUACCCUUCUUUUUAUUCAACAAGUUUGGGUAAGAAGAUGCUGAAGGGUAAGAUUCUGGCUGUUAAAAAUCAACUUGUCAUGUAAACUGGUACAGAAAAGGCAUGUUCCUUCAGGCUUGCUGUCCUAACUGUGAGAUAAAAAAAAUUAAAACUAUGCUUUAGUGUUUGGCAAGUGUAAAUAUUCCAUAAUGUUAAAAUGUAAUAACAUCCUGUGGUUGUUUAUUUUUUGGAUAUGUUUGUAAAAAUGUAUUUAAAAAUUUUAAACAAGUGUUUUAAUAAGAUUUAUAACAAUAAAUAUUGACUAAUUGUUAUACAAGGCAUUUUCUAGUUUUGUCACUUGUUUCGGAGUGAUAUUUCUAAAUGAUUUUAAAUAAACUGUAAAGUAAAUUUUUAUUCUUUGUCCUUGUUUGUAAUUAGGGGUAUUUUCAUUAAAUCAUUUAUUGUGAAUAGCUAAGGUUAAAAUUAUUUCUGUCAUAACAUUCAGGUCAAGAUUUUAUGUUUUAAGUUUAUACAGGUUGAUUGAACUUAAAAAAUUUAUGGAAACUCGCUGCCCUAAAAAAGCUAAUUUCGUCUUGUUGAAAAAACAAUACUUUUUAGGUUUAUUGUACCUAAGAUUUAAAUAUUGUUGUACUAAAAACCUUUAUUUCAGUCAACUAAAUAUUUAAUUAAAUGCAUUUGAAAUCUUAAGUACAAUAAACUUAAAAAGUGUUGUUUUUUCAACGAGACGAAAUUAGCUUUUUUAGGGCAGCGGGUUUCCAUAAAUUUUUUAAGUUCAAUCAACCUGUCCGGGCUUACAGUGUAGGUAUAUAAAAUAUAUAUAAAUAAAAUGAAAAAGGCGGUUGUGAGGGUCUUAAUCAAGUAAUAGAAACGAGCCUAAGUCAUGUGAAAGCUUUCAGGCAUUUCUGUUCCUUGUGGAGUGAAGAGACCUCUUCAGAUCAUUCCUCCAUCCAUUAAAGUGGGGUUUCACCUUAACAAAUUUGCAUCAGUGAAGUAUUUAACUGGAAUAAUUCGAUUAUUUGCCAAAAAGUUCAGGUCUUUUCCUUCAAAAAUAUACCAACUUUGAUGGAGACCCCAGUUAAAGGGUGUAUUUGUAUCUGUCUGGAAUGCAGCCACUUCUGAAAUUACAUCCACAACUGUUUUAUAACUUUACAGUGAAAAAAUAUGAUCUACAGUUUCAAUAUCUGUCUUGCAAAAACUGCAUGAAUUGUUUCCACAGUUAAAUUUUUAAUGUAAAAAGUUAAUAGAUGGGUAAAUGUCAUUUACACUUUUAAAUGCUACUUCUUUAGCCUUAGGAAAGAAACGGGUAUGUUAAGUAUCGUUUUCUUAUUUUUCUUGAUUCUUUACUGAACUCUUGUAGAACAUAUUUUCUUGAUAUGGAAAGUAUUGUUUUGGCAAUAAAUUUUUUUAAAAACG